UUGAAGAGUUUGAUCAUGGCUCAGAUUGAACGCUGGCGGCAGGCCUAACACAUGCAAGUCGAGGGGUAACAGGGAGCUUGCUCCGCUGACGACCGGCGCACGGGUGCGCACCGCGUAUGGAACCUACCUUUUACAGGGGAAUAGCCCAGGGAAACUUGGAUUAAUGCCCCGUGGUACUAUUAUGUGGCAUCACAUUAUAGUUAAAGCCUUCGGGCGGUAGAAGAUGGCCAUGCGUCCCAUUAGUUUGUUGGUAAGGUAACGGCUUACCAAGACUACGAUGGGUAGGGGCCCUGAGAGGGGGAUCCCCCACACUGGUACUGAGACACGGACCAGACUCCUACGGGAGGCAGCAGUGAGGAAUAUUGGACAAUGGAGGAGACUCUGAUCCAGCCAUGCCGCGUGCAGGAAGAAUGCCCUAUGGGUAGUAAACUGCUUUUAUACAGGAAGAAAAAGGGGUACGUGUGCCCUACUGACGGUACUGUAAGAAUAAGGACCGGCUAACUCCGUGCCAGCAGCCGCGGUAAUACGGAGGAUGCAAGUGUUAUCCGAAAUUAUUGGGCGUAAAGAGUCUGUAGGUGGCUUUCAAAGUCUGAUGUUAAAUGUCAGGGCUUAACCCUGAACCUGCAUUAGAAACUAGUAAGCUUGAGUAGAGUCGAAGUAGAAGGAAUUUCCAGUGAAGCGGUGAAAUGCGUAGAUAUUGGAAGGAACACCAAUGGCGAAAGCAUUCUACUAGGCUCUUACUGACACUGAGAGACGAAAGCGAGGGUAGCAAAUGGGAUUAGAUACCCCAGUAGUCCUCGCUGUAAACGAUGGAUACUAAACAUUGCGUGCAUCGAUCCGCGUGGUGUUAUAGCUAACGCGUUAAGUAUCCCGCCUGGGGAGUACG
rnacentral:rRNA from 1 species